rnacentral:rRNA from 1 species
GGAUUGACACAUCGGUCGUGCCUUAAGGGGUAUGAACUGGUGUAGUCAAUUUCUCACCUUCUGGGGAACCACGAUGCCCUUAAUUGGGUGUCGCGGGGAACCAGGACCUCUACUUUGAGAAAAUUAGAGUGUUCAAAGCAGGCUUAUGCCCGAAUACAUUAGCAUGGAAUAAUAGAAUAGGACGCGCGUUCCCAUUUUGUUGGUUUCUGAGAUCGCCGUA